CCUACGGGAGGCAGCAGUGGGGAAUAUUGCACAAUGGGCGCAAGCCUGAUGCAGCAACGCCGCGUGAGGGACGACGGCCUUCGGGUUGUAAACCUCUUUUAGUAGGGAAGAAGCGAAAGUGACGGUACCUGCAGAAAAAGCACCGGCUAACUACGUGCCAGCAGCCGCGGUAAUACGUAGGGUGCAAGCGUUAUCCGGAAUUAUUGGGCGUAAAGAGCUCGUAGGCGGUUUGUCACGUCUGCUGUGAAAACUGGAGGCUCAACCUCCAGCCUGCAGUGGGUACGGGCAGACUAGAGUGCGGUAGGGGAGAUUGGAAUUCCUGGUGUAGCGGUGGAAUGCGCAGAUAUCAGGAGGAACACCGAUGGCGAAGGCAGAUCUCUGGGCCGUAACUGACGCUGAGGAGCGAAAGCAUGGGGANCGAACAGGAUUAGAUACCCUGGUAAGUCCAUGCCGUAAACGUUGGGAACUAGAUGUAGGGACCAUUCCACGGUUUCUGUGUCGCAGCUAACGCAUUAAGUUCCCCGCCUGGGGAUACGGCCGCAAGGCUAAAACUCAAAAGAUAGUACGGACGNGAGAGAGCGACGACGACGACGAGGAGGAG
rnacentral:rRNA from 1 species